rnacentral:rRNA from 1 species
AGAUACCCUGGUAGUCCACGCCGUAAACGAUGUCGACUUGGAGGUUGUGCCCUUGAGGCGUGGCUUCCGGAGCUAACGCGUUAAGUCGACCGCCUGGGGAGUACGGCCGCAAGGUUAAAACUCAAAUGAAUUGACGGGGGCCCGCACAAGCGGUGGAGCAUGUGGUUUAAUUCGAUGCAACGCGAAGAACCUUACCUGGUCUUGACAUCCACAGAACUUUCAGAGAUGGAAUGUGCCUUCGGGAACCGUGAGACAGGUGCUGCAUGGCUGUCGUCAGCUCGUGUUGUGAAAUGUUGGGUUAAGUCCCGCAACGAGCGCAACCCUUAUCCUUUGUUGCCAGCGGUCCGGCCGGGAACUCAAAGGAGACUGCCAGUGAUAAACUGGAGGAAGGUGGGGAUGACGUCAAGUCAUCAUGGCCCUUACGACCAGGGCUACACACGUGCUACAAUGGCGCAUACAAAGAGAAGCGACCUCGCGAGAGCAAGCGGACCUCAUAAAGUGCGUCGUAGUCCGGAUUGGAGUCUGCAACUCGACUCCAUGAAGUCGGAAUCGCUAGUAAUCGUGGAUCAGAAUGCCACGGUGAAUACGUUCCCGGGCCUUGUACACACCGCCCGUCACACCAUGGGAGUGGGUUGCAAAAGAAGUAGGUAGCUUAACCUUCGGGAGGGCGCUUACCACUUUGUGAUUCAUGACUGGGGUGAAGUCGUAACAAGGUAACCGUAGGGGAACCUGCGGUUG